CCUACGGGAGGCAGCAGUGGGGAAUAUUGGACAAUGGGCGAAAGCCUGAUCCAGCAAUGCCGCGUGAGUGAUGAAGGCCUUCGGGUCGUAAAGCUCUUUUACCAGGGAUGAUAAUGACAGUACCUGGAGAAUAAGCUCCGGCUAACUCCGUGCCAGCAGCCGCGGUAAUACGGAGGGAGCUAGCGUUGUUCGGAAUUACUGGGCGUAAAGAGUACGUAGGCGGUUAUUCAAGUCAGAGGUGAAAGCCCGGGGCUCAACCCCGGAACUGCCUUUGAAACUAGAUAACUAGAGUCUUGGAGAGGUUAGUGGAAUUCCGAGUGUAGAGGUGAAAUUCGUAGAUAUUCGGAAGAACACCAGUGGCGAAGGCGACUAACUGGACAAGUACUGACGCUGAGGUACGAAAGCGUGGGGAGCAAACAGGAUUAGAUACCCUGGUAGUCCACGCCGUAAACGAUGAUAACUAGUUGUUCGGUCACUUGGUGACUGAGUGACGCAGCUAACGCAUUAAGUUAUCCGCCUGGGGAGUACGGUCGCAAGAUUAAAACCNGAAAGGAAUUGACGGCUGAAGAGUGCGACGACGACGACGAGGGAGGAGG
rnacentral:rRNA from 1 species